ACACCCGUAUUAUUGCUGUUAUGGGUUUGAACCGAGCUUAGCCUUGUUCAUUUUUUUACACAAUAGUCCUGUAAAAAAUUGAACACACCCCCACUGAGCAACCUGAAAGAUCAACGCUUGGAGCCCGCUGAAAGGCCUUGAAAUGCCCCAGAAAUGGCCACCAUGCCCCACUACAGGGCAU
rnacentral:sRNA from 1 species